rnacentral:tRNA from 1 species
GCCUAGAGGGUAGCCUAGAGGUCAUGGCAUCUGCCCGGUAAGCGGAAGGUCGUGGGUUCGCUUCCCAUCCCUUGACA